GCGUCCUUUCCUCAAAAUGAUCUUUUGCUGUUCGGCAGGCAGUAUAGUGCAAAAUUAAUAAAUAAAUUUCUGUGGAUUUAUUAACUAAUAAAUGGUGUCGAAACAAGUUAAAGGGCCACGGACCAAAAGACAAAUACCUUCCAGGAGGAAACAAAGCAUCAACCGGUGAAUAAAUUACCGCACCCGUGGCCGAGCCCGUGGCGUACAACUUAAUAAGGAUAUCGCAAAUUGAUACCGUAGCCAGUUUACUCCUGAGUAAAGGAAAGAAUUGACAAUGCCACCAUCAGGUAGCCCAUCUUUAGCCCUGGGACUUCAGCUUACGGAACUGCGAAACAAUAAAAUGAAAAGUCAGCCUAUCAACCGAAUCAGCCGUUGCAGGCCCGUGCCCACCAGGCCCACCAGCUUCUGUUGUGGACUAUAACGACCUCCGUGAACGUGAAUAGAUGCUACCCAUGUUCCAGCAGCAAACGUAAACACCCGGAAGCAUGCCAACUGCGGCGUAAUCCUCGGCACCUGCUGUUAGAUGCUGGACCUUAUUUUAAUGUAAAUAGUACCAAGUAUUAUUGUACUAUUAUAAAAUGCCUCGUUAUAUGUACUGUUAUAAAUUUCAUUUAUUUGAUAUAAUAAAAUGAUGUAUUUCUUA